CCUACGGGAGGCUGCAGUGAGGAAUAUUGGUCAAUGGGCGCAAGCCUGAACCAGCCAAGUCGCGUGAGGGAAGACGGCCCUAUGCGUUGUAAACCUCUUUUGUCGGGGAGCAAAAGGCGCCACUCGUGCCGUUCCGAGAGUACCCGGAGAAAAAGCAUCGGCUAACUCCGUGCCAGCAGCCGCGGUAAUACGGAGGAUGCGAGCGUUAUCCGGAUUUAUUGGGUUUAAAGGGUGCGCAGGCGGAAGAUUAAGUCGGCGGUAAAAUUGCGGGGCUCAACCCCUUCGAGCCGUUGAAACUGGGUGUCUUGAGUGAGUGAGAGGUAUGCGGAAUGCGUGGUGUAGCGGUGAAAUGCAUAGAUAUCACGCAGAACUCCGAUUGCGAAGGCAGCGUACCGGCGCUCAACUGACGCUCAUGCACGAAAGUGUGGGUAUCGAACAGGAUUAGAUACCCCAGUAGUC
rnacentral:rRNA from 1 species